AUUGAACGCUGGCGGCAGGCCUAACACAUGCCAGUCGAGCGGAUGAAGGGAGCUUGCUCCUGGAUUCAGCGGCGGACGGGUGAGUAAUGCCUAGGAAUCUGCCUGGUAGUGGGGGAUAACGUCCGGAAACGGGCGCUAAUACCGCAUACGUCCUGAGGGAGAAAGUGGGGGAUCUUCGGACCUCACGCUAUCAGAUGAGCCUAGGUCGGAUUAGCUAGUUGGUGGGGUAAAGGCCUACCAAGGCGACGAUCCGUAACUGGUCUGAGAGGAUGAUCAGUCACACUGGAACUGAGACACGGUCCAGACUCCUACGGGAGGCAGCAGUGGGGAAUAUUGGACAAUGGGCGAAAGCCUGAUCCAGCCAUGCCGCGUGUGUGAAGAAGGUCUUCGGAUUGUAAAGCACUUUAAGUUGGGAGGAAGGGCAGUAAGUUAAUACCUUGCUGUUUUGACGUUACCAACAGAAUAAGCACCGGCUACUUCGUG
rnacentral:rRNA from 1 species